CUGAGACUGAUUUCACUGUUUGCAGCCUUUUAAGCCAAAACAAUGUAGAGCAGAAGACCAAGUAUUGCUCUUGGUCUGUCUCUAAAUCACCUUGCAAGGACAAAGCCCCCAAAGUACCUGCCCGUGUUUGCCCAGUGGUGAUAUAAAAUGAAGGGAUGAUCUUAAAUUAACUGAAAAAGCUGCAGUGAAGAAGACAUACAGGCCUUGAUAGUUAAAGUUAGCAUUUAAAUAGUAAACAUUUCCCUGGAAACCUCAUACUCAUAUUCGUACUCGUCGUCUUCUGCUUUAUCCAGGACCGGGUCGCGGGAGCAGCAGACUUAGUAGAUACAGCCAGACUUCCCUUCUCCCCAGACAGCUUCAGCUCCGCCGGGGGGAGCCCAAGGCAUUCCCGGGCCAGCCGAGAGAUAUCGUCCCUCCAAUGAUGCUAGGCCAUCCCCGGGGCCUCCUCCCGGUUGGACAUACCUGGAAAACCUCCUGGGGGAGGCGUUUAAGAGGCAUCCGAUACAGAUGCCCAAGCCACCUCAACUGCCUCCUCUUGAUGUGGAGGAGCAGCGGCUCUACUCCAAGCUCCUUCCAGAUGGCCAAGCAACACACCCUAUCUCUAAGGGAGUGCCUUCCAGAAUGAAGGAGUCCUAGAGAGGGGCACUAUCCAGCACCCCCGACAGGGACAUCUGCAGGUGGUGGGCCCACUGGGGAAUGGCCUCGCGUCUUUCGUUCAGGCUUUGCCCAGCUAGGAGUAACCCGGCCACCAGGCGCUCACCGACGAGUUCCGACCCCAGGUCAGGCUCCAGGAUGGGAACCCGUCUCUGCUGGGCGUCAUCAUGUGUCUUGAUGUAAUAGUCCUCAGGAAGGUGCCUAAACAACUCUUUGUCUGACCCGUCACUCAGAGCUUGUUUGCCAUGGGAGACCCUACCAGGAGCAUUUAAGCCCCGGACAACAUAGCCUCUAAGGAUCAUUCAAGCACUCAAACCUCUCCACCACAGUAAGGUGGCGAUUCAAGGAGGGGCCCUGGAAACCUGCUAAAGAGAAUCCAAUUUAAGUAGAGGAUGUAGUUCAAGGAACACUUUGAGAUGUUCAAUGUUAGGUCUUAGAGUGGGAGAUGUAUGAUUUAUUCUAGUUUUAGAAAGUUGAGUUAGAAGCAAUGAUUCAUUGUUUUCUUGGACAGGCCUGUUCUGAUUUCAUGGAAGUGAAAGGGAGUUUCUUGCUUCUCAUGCAUGCAGUUAGAGUCAUUUAAACAAAUUUGUCAGAAACAAACUGAAAAUCAACUCCUAUUCUAUAGUCGCCCCCUCUUUAAAGCAAAAUGUGAAGUAUUGUUUUACUGUCUAACUUCAUAUAGUGAUUUAACAGGAUAAAACUUCAGUAAAUGUGACUCGGGGACGUUUUUGUAGUAGGUGCUAGUGUGCGGAAUGGGGAGUAUUGGUAGGUGUGCCUUAGACACUUAGAAGUACAACUAUUUGUGUUUUUGUGUCGUGAAGCGACAUUUUGGACUUUGUUGUGGUCUUGUGUUUUCAAUCGUUUAUUUAGUUUGAGGUUUUUGGAAGUCAUGUUUGUUUAUUUCCUUUUGCUCCCUGUUAGUUUUGUUCCCUCUACCGCUUCCUAGUGUUUUGUCUUCUGCCCUUUUCAUUCUUAAGUUUUCUUUAUGGUUACUUUCUCAUUACUUUGUAUUAUUAUUAUUAUUAUUAUUAUUAUUAUUAUUAUUAUUAUUAUUAUUAUUAUUACAUUUGUUGUUAUUCUAGUUCCCUUGUCUUCCUUGUAGUUUCUAGUUUAGUUUCCCAUUUAGUAUAUCUGUGUCUAUUUAUGUUUUGAGAUUCGUUCACUUGCGCUUUUAUUUUACUAGUUUAUUUUCUAUGUCUCGUCCUGGUUCCCUUUUUGUGGUUUAGUUUUUGUUUAUUUACAGUCAGGGUUUCUUUAUGGGUUCUUUGUUAAUUAGGUUUUGGUGUUUCUUCUUUUCCCUCUAGUUUCUCAGUUUACUUUAGUUAAUGAUUAUUUUAGGUUUUUAUGUUUCUUUUGGUUUUUUUGUUUAGAUCUGCUUCCCUGAGUUUUGUUAUUUAUAGUUUUGUUUUUGUGGUCAGGUCCCUUUGACUAAGUUAUUGUCUAGCUUCCCUCAUGUUCCCUUUUGUCUUCUAGUUUGGUCACCUUAGCAACCACCCAGAUUCCCUCAGUUCUCUAUAGCCUGGUCCACACCUGAUUUCCAUUCUCAUCUGAUUACCUGCCUCAGUGUUUCAUUGGUCCAUACCUCACUCCCUUCUGUUUAUUAGCUCUCUGGUUAUCAUUGUACUUUGCUGGUUCCUUCCAUUCUCCACCCAUGUCUAUGCGCUUGUACCAUGUUCCUGCCAAGACCAAUUUUAAAAAAUUCUCUGAGCCAUAUGUUGAAAGCGCUGCUUAGUUCCUCUUGAUAAUUUGACAAGAAAAACACAUGGAAGCGAAACAGACCAGGGUGUAUUGAACGACCAACUCUUUCCUCCAACCGCACCAAGCAGUACAACAACCAAGAAUGAUCUCCGAGCAGACAGCCUGAUGAUGGGUGUAUUCCAACCAGCUAGCCCCAACAUGUAUGCACGUGAAACAUGAUCCAAGCUAUGUUAUUACUUCCAACAUAAAGAGCGAGGUGCUUCUUAGCGGCUGAACGAGUGAAUUUUUACAAUGCAUUCCCUGAUACAUUUAUGCAGAAGUAAAAAAAAUGAAGCCCUCCA